rfam:Leucoagaricus sp. SymC.cos contig5713, whole genome shotgun sequence.
UCGGAUAUGGUGUAGUGGCUAACAUUAUCGCCUCUCACGCGAUAGCCCGGGGUUCGAUUCCCCGUAUCCGAA